rnacentral:tRNA from 1 species
CAAAAGAUAGUUUAUAUUUUAGAAUAUUAAUUUUGGAAAUUAAAGGAAUAUGAUAGUAAGUAUAUUUUUUUGA